UACGUAGGUGACAAGCGUUAUCCGGAAUUACUGGGCGUAAAGCGCACGCAAGCGGUCUGUCAAGUCUGGCGUGAAAUCUCUUGGCUUAACCAGGAGCGGUCGCUGGAAACUGAUGGGCUUGAGGCGAUGAGAGGAGUGCGGAAUCCCCGGUGUAGUGGUGGAAUGCGUAGAUAUCGGGGGGAACACCAGUGGCGAAAGCGGCACUCUGGCGUCGGCCUGACGCUCAUGUGCGAAAGCGUGGGGAGCGAACGGG
rnacentral:rRNA from 1 species